UUUCUUCGGAAUGAAACCAGAUAUGACUUAGUGGCGGACGGGUGAGUAACGCGUGAGCAACCUGCCUUUCAGAGGGGGAUAACGGCUGGAAACGGUCGCUAAUACCGCAUGACGUGUUCGGAUGGCAUCAUCUGAACAUCAAAGAUUUAUCGCUGAAAGAUGGACCCGCGUCUGAUUAGGUAGUUGGUGGGGUAACGGCCUACCAAGCCGACGAUCAGUAGCCGACCUGAGAGGGUGACCGGCCACAUUGGGACUGAGACACGGCCCAAACUCC
rnacentral:rRNA from 1 species